GGAGUUGUUCUGGCCUCUUGGCAUGCCACAUAGUAACUGGAAUCGAAAUGGAUGCGGUUGGAGUAGUUGAAGGCACAGGGCGGCGCUUCCGGGGCCAAAAUUAAUUAAGUUGACUUCUGGCAUUGGCAAUGGCAACAGUCCAGCACCAGCUUCAACUCCAACUCCAACUACGAAUGACUGGCCAUCAAUUGCGAGCGGAAGUCGUAAGUUUUGGCAUUCGGCUUUCCGGACUCUCUGCCCCAGUGCAUUAUGAAAAAUUAGGGAAAACUAACGAGCCGAGUGGGACUGCACUGGCGCCGUUGGAGUUGGCCCAAUCAGGCGCACAUGUUGCCAGUGGAGCCGCCAUCGCCGCCGCCUAAUUGAUGAACUGCUGAAAAGCGUAUCCCGAGUAUAUCCCGAUCCACAUCAACAUCCAGCUCCCCAGAUCUGUGCGUAGGCGCAGAAAUAUUAUUUACAAAUUGAUUAAUUGUUGUUUAUUGGAAGUCAUAGUCAGGCAGACGACUUUAGUUGGCUUGAUAAAUGAACUUGGGCCUGUGUGGCCCUAGUUCUCAUCGAUGGUGUCACUCUGAGGUCAAGCAAUCAGUCAUAAGCCAAGCACAAACACACACACACACACCUCGAAUGCAAGAAAUGCAAUUGGUAAAAUACCUACGUCUGACUGGGGAAUUAGCCCAGUUGCCCAACCGAAACUGUCGCUCCAA
ensembl:ncRNA lncRNA:CR44631 long non-coding RNA:CR44631